CGGGGCUAAUACCGGAUAAUAUUUUGAACUGCAUAGUUCGAAAUUGAAAGGCGGCUUCGGCUGUCACUUAUGGAUGGACCCGCGUCGCAUUAGCUAGUUGGUGAGGUAACGGCUCACCAAGGCGACGAUGCGUAGCCGACCUGAGAGGGUGAUCGGCCACACUGGGACUGAGACACGGCCCAGACUCCUACGGGAGGCAGCAGUAGGGAAUCUUCCGCAAUGGACGAAAGUCUGACGGAGCAACGCCGCGUGAGUGAUGAAGGCUUUCGGGUCGUAAAACUCUGUUGUUAGGGAAGAACAAGUGCUAGUUGAAUAAGCUGGCACCUUGACGGUACCUAACCAGAAAGCCACGGCUAACUACGUGCCAGCAGCCGCGGUAAUACGUAGGUGGCAAGCGUUAUCCGGAAUUAUUGGGCGUAAAGCGCGCGCAGGUGGUUUCUUAAGUCUGAUGUGAAAGCCCACGGCUCAACCGUGGAGGGUCAUUGGAAACUGGGAGACUUGAGUGCAGAAGAGGAAAGUGGAAUUCCAUGUGUAGCGGUGAAAUGCGUAGAGAUAUGGAGGAACACCAGUGGCGAAGGCGACUUUCUGGUCUGUAACUGACACUGAGGCGCGAAAGCGUGAGGAGCAAACAGGAUUAGAUACCCUGGUAGUCCACGCCGUAAACGAUGAGUGCUAAGUGUUAGAGGGUUUCCGCCCUUUAGUGCUGAAGUUAACGCAUUAAGCACUCC
rnacentral:rRNA from 1 species